UAAGAAAUGUAUUUCUAUGCCUCAUGUCAAAAGAAAAAUAAUGAAAUGUAUUAUCUUCUUUUUUUCACACCAAUUUAUAGUUUUUCAUACACUUUUUAUAGUAACUUUUCAUUAUCAAACAGGUUGUUGCUUUAAACACUUUAGAUCAACUUUUUUAUCGACUAAUUUAAUAGAAUCUCAUGAGAAAGCGUCAAAAAAAACAAGCCAUGACGCUUUAUAUAAAAACCAAGUACCAAUGGGAAAAACCUCAACAUAUGACGAAAGUAUUUGUAGCGCCUUGUCACACUGCUCAAGUUGUACACAAAAUUCCAACUGUCGUUUUUGUGUUUUAAAAAAUUUUCAUACAUCUCAAUUUUUACCUUACACUGACAAAACGUCAGAAAAGAAAGCAUUAAAAGGACAUUGCUUGAGUUUGAAGAGUACGCGUUGGGAUAAACUUUUUACUGAUGACUCAACUUUGAAAGAAACUGCUUAUUGCGGUCUUAUUCUACCUGAUUACUACAACGGUAUUACUUGCAAGGAUAUAAAUGAAGGCUCACAAUUUAAAACAUAUCGCGAAACAUUAGAACAAAUUCAACCAUAUUUCAUAGCAACAUAUUUAUUCGACGACGCGAAAGAAACGACUCUUGAAGAGGCGUUAAGAAAAAGUGGGGAUCCGAGCGGAAACGCUUUACUUAACCAGAGUUUUUUUUUUAUUUUUUUAAUUUUUUUUAUCAUAUCCAUCGUAUCAUUUUUUUUCGGUUUACUUUUUUUUUGCAUCUUUUCCUGUUGUCGAGCUUGUUUAUGUCGAUGUUGUUGCUGCUGCUGUUUCCGUUAAAAAAAAAAAACCAAUAAAACGUCUGUUUCAUUAACACACACACGUUUUGUUGAAUUUUUUUAUCUUAGCAAUUUUUCCGUGUAUAUUUUUACUUAUUAUGAAUAUGGCUAAAUCAAUGCAAAUUUUU